rnacentral:rRNA from 1 species
UACAGAGGUGCCGAGCGUUAGGCGGAAUCACUGGGCUUAAAGCGCGCGUAGGCGGAUGUUUAAGUGUCUUGUGAAAUCCCACGGCUCAACCGUGGAACUGCUGGGCAUACUGGGCAUCUUGAGGCACUCAGGGGCGAGCGGAACAAGUGGUGGAGCGGUGAAAUGCGUAGAUAUCACUUGGAACGCCAAUGGUGAAGACAGCUCGCUGGGGGUGUCCUGACGCUGAGGCGCGAAAGCCAGGGGAGCGAACGGG